AAAUUGAAGAGUUUGAUCAUGGCUCAGAUUGAACGCUGGCGGCAGGCCUAACACAUGCAAGUCGAACGGUAACAGGAAGCAGCUUGCUGCUUCGCUGACGAGUGGCGGACGGGUGAGUAAUGUCUGGGAAACUGCCUGAUGGAGGGGGAUAACUACUGGAAACGGUGGCUAAUACCGCAUAACGUCGCAAGACCAAAGAGGGGGGCCUUCGGGCCUCUUGCCAUCAGAUGUGCCCAG
rnacentral:rRNA from 1 species